GUAGUAGCAUUCUAAUUAAUCUACUUACAAUAAUCUGCUUUGCAGCUGUUAUUACUAAAUAAUACAUAAAUAAAAAUCAAUUAAGUUUUAAAAAGUGUAGUAUGUCUGUGGUAGAAAUAAAUGUGUGUAGCUUUUGGUAUCUGGAUUUGAGAUGGAGGUUUGGUGGUGGAGGGGUUAGGUCUCCUGGUUGAUGUGUGCGUGACAGGGUGUAUAUGAGUGUGUGUGUGUGUGUGUGUGUGCGUGUGUGUGUGAAGGGGGGUGUGGAUUAGCCAGGCUCCCAUAGACAAAAGGCAGAUGGAUUUGCACGGCUCUGGCUUAUUCAGAAUGGGUGAAAAAAGGUCAGAGGGAGAGCGGCGGCCGGCUAUUGUUUUCCUCCACGACGACUGCUGUAGGAAACAAAGAUCUGUCCCUCACCUCUGAUUCAUCCUGGGCUUUUGAAAAAGUUCACCCGUCACCCAUCAGCAAACAACCCCACAGAAAUGCACCCGCGGACGCACACGCAUGCACAUCCUUACAGAACACCCAGAGUGAUAAAGUCUCUCUCUGGAUGAACAGAGGAUUUUAGACCAACAGUCUCCUCAUAAUGAGCUCAGAAAACAUCACUCAUCUCACAACCUUAAAAACAGACGUGUCUGCCUCUUUGUCUGACGGCUUCAGAGCGACACGGACAUGGAAACGACAACAGAGACCAUCAAUGGCCAUCGCCUGGAUACCCGCAAACAGGUUCUGUGAUAUUCAAACGGUCACCGGUGGAUACAAAAUGAAAGGCUUGCUCUUUUUUUUCACCAAAACGACAGCUCAUUCAGCCCAGGACCACCAAACUGAUGUCCUUUGUGCAGUGCAACAUAUUUUGGAUUCCUGUGACCCACCAUCCUGCCCCCACUCGCCUUGUCUUCUGGGAUGGCACCCAAGACAAAAGAGCCAUCAUCCGCAUGAUAUGGUAGCCCCUCAGCCCUGACGCCCCCUGGGACAUAAAUCUUCAACAUACAUUAAGCAAGCAUAACAUCUGGGCUGACUGACAAACUGACUUUGACAAGGUACAUCAUACAGUCUGCAACAGAAAGUCUGCAGAGCUAACUGGACUGUAUACAACAAGGACACGGUGAUGCUUUCUUCUAAUUCUUGGCAGAAAUGAGAAGUAACCAAAUAUAUUUACUCAAUACUAUGAGGUACUGGUGCUUUACUUUCUGGAACACUUUCUGCUUUUACUACAGUACACAGACAAAUAUUUGUACUUUUCACUGAGACAGAAGGUGCUUUGUGCACAUUGUUGCUGGUAACUACAAGAUAAAUGUCAAUGGUCAGAAAAAGUAACCAUUAUUAAAUAGUGUAUAACUGAUAUUAUGUAUAGUAUUUAUGCAAAAGUUAAUAAAAGAUUUUUGAUCAUAUACUUUUCUGGGGGGUAACUAUCACAAACAUUUGUGGUUUAUUUUUUCUGACUAAUGUACUUUUUAAUCCACAAUAUUUAUCUAACAUCACUAGUUUGUUUCUUGUUUUACUUCUUCUGUCCUUUCCUUUAGUCCUUCAUUCUAUCUGUGUUUGUGUCCUUCCUUGUUCCCUUUCCUUUUGAUGGUUUGGUUUGGUUUGGUUUAAUGACAACGUUCAAAUAUAUUUAUAAAAUACAACAUAUCACACUUUGUCAGGGAUACUGGAUGUAUUUCCAACAUUGUUCCUGGUGUUUUGUUCUUCCUUUUAAUUGUUUUUUCCUUCUCUUCUUCUAAACUUUGUUCUUUUCUACAUUCCCUCUUACUUCCAGCUCAUCCUCCUUUCUUUUCCUGGAAUUUGGAGUCAAACUACACUCCAUACUUUUCUUCACUAUAAGUUUUUCACUUAAAAUCCCUGUGAACAUUUUACUGCUAACACUCUUAAUACUAAGAAACCAUUUGAAUGCUGGAAUAUUACUUGUAAUUAAGUAUUUUUACUAUUGUGGUAUUGCUACUAAAUUAAACACACUUAACACCA